CAAUUAUUUACAAAUUUUGUAUAUAUGAUUUUAAGAUUUCAAUUUCAGUAAAAACAAAAACUUCGUAUUGCAUCGUAGAAUUGUACUUUAAUGGAAUAUCGUUUUUAAGAACGGAGAAGCAAACAGAAUCACUGCCCAGUUCAGUAGAACAAGCAAACAAGUCAAGAAUAUAAGUGAGAAAAGCCAACGAUAAAAUCAAUUGAUAUACAGCGACGUAAACGCCAGCGCAGCAGAAGAAUAAAAAAGUCUAAAAAUAUUUCUUGUUGUAUUCUAAAGAGGAAAUUUCGCAUAAAGAACCACUACAAAGUCAUCAUAAUUAAUUGGAUAUAGCGUUGAUAAAAUUAAAAAAAAUUAAAAAAAAAAAAACGAAAAGCAAUAGCCAUGGUCUUGAAAGUGUAUAUUAGUGGUAUGUCUGGUAACAAGGAGGUGAAAAAACGCCAGCAGCGCGUCCUUAUGAUACUUGACAGCAAGAAUAUUCAGUAUGAAGUCAUUGAUAUUACAGAGCCUGGACGUGAAGCGGAUAAGGAAUUUAUGCAAAAUAAGUCGACCAGCAAUGGGGCAACGGUUAGUGAUCCGGAGCCACGACAUGCACUGCCACCACAACUCUUCAAUGAGGAAGACUAUUGUGGCGACUACGAUGCCUUCGAUUUGGCAAAUGAAAUUGAUACUCUCGAGCAAUUCUUGAAGGUGGCUGCUGCAGACAUUACAGCGGUUUCUAAUACGCAAAUCGAAUUAAAACAGGAAAAUGGCGAAGGUAAUGAUAAUGGUGGCGAGAAUAAAGAGAACGAAAGCACCGAGCAUAAUAAGGAAGAUGAAAAUGCUGAGAAGCCAGAGUGUAAUCGCUUACAACGUUCAACUUUACGCCAAGCAGCUGGUAAAGUGAUCUUAGUAAUGAAAAUUUCCAUAAAACUUUUAAAGAACAAUGAACAAAUCGAUGCUUCUCCUGAUAAAGAUGACAAGAAGGAUGACGAACAAAGAUCACCUAUCAACAAUAAUAGCACUGAGCCAUUGAGUGGCGCGACAAUGCCGGCUGCCUUGACUGAAGUAAAUGGCGAAAGUACAGUUAUGGUUACAAAAGAUUUGGUAGAAACAGCGGCAGCUGAAGUUUUCGUAGGAGAAGCGCAGAAGGCUAUUAAAUUAGAAAGCCCAUCGUCAAGGUGCACAACUAAUAACCAUUUAAUGGGAACAAAUCAAAACCUAAUUGAUUCUAAUAAAAAACCUAAUGAUCAGGAAGAAGCAAAAGCCGAAGCCGAAGCAGAAGCAGAAGAAAACUUAAAACCGUCCAAAAUUAAUAAUGACGAAUCAUCAUCAAUUCAAGAUACAAUAAAUGAAGAAAAUCUUCCAAUGAGAACAAAGAGCCAAGAAUACCAAUCUUCCCAUAAAGAAGAUGGUGAAACGGAAAAUGAUGGAAAAUUUUUACCAAUCGAUUGCGAAAAAUCACAAUCAAUUCUCAAAUACAGUGACCCAAUAGAAGUUACAAAUAGUGAUUUAACUAUUGAUAAAGGAACUGAAGAUGAUGGCGACAAAGUAAUUCAUAAUCAAGAAAAUUUGAUCGUUCCGCCAUUAGAUAAGAAAUUAGAAAAUGAAAUGCUUGAAGAAGGUGCCGAAAUGACAAACGAAGCGUCAAACCAAAAACAGGAAAUUGAUGCAAAUAUACAAGAUGAAGAGUAAAUAAAACCUAAAGAAAAACCAUCACAGAAAUUGGAAAGACCAAACGGCGAAAACUGACGAGAAUGCUGCGAAAGAUGACUAAGAAUUAGACUAUAAAUAUAACAUAUUAAAACCUUAACAGAUAUCACUUUAAUACCCAAAUUUUGCAGAAUCACAAUAGCCCGCCUUCCCCAUUUUCUCAAAUAUUAAGCAGAAUACCACAAAAGAUAUAAUGGAACAAUUUGUUAAAAGCAAGCGAGAGGAAGCAACAUCAAAUUAAGAUAACCUUUAAUUGCGCGUAAUGGAGCGUAUUUAUAAAUUAUCUUCAGUUCUUUUCUUUUGUUGUUUUCUGAAUUUGACUAUAUAUUGAAAUAAUAUUACUUUUUUCUUUUUUUAUUACAAAAACUAGUAAAAACCGAGUAUGUAUUGUAUAUCCGUUAAAUUUACAACACACUUCUUAAAUUCUUAUACACGAUUUCGGAGAGAGGAAAAAAGGGGAUUCUUCUUGUCUAUGGAAUAAGGAGAAAAAAAAAAAAUAAAUUUGACAAUUGUUUACUGAUGCAACAGCAUGUAUGAUUUGAUAUUGGUGCGAAUGCAUAGUAUCUUCAUUAUUUAAAAAAUAUAGGAGGGUAUUAGUGGGGGUGUU